AGAAGGAGCAGCUGUUGAAAGAGGAGAGAUAUUGAAACUGAAGUUUUGGUGAUAAAAUUGGAUUGAGAGAGAGGCCACUGAUGGAUUAAGGACCCUGGGAUCAUGACCUGAGCUGAAAGCAGAUGCUUAACCCACCGACCCAACCAGGCACCCUUCAAUGUUGAAUUUCUUGAAUAAGGUAUUUGUAUUUACCUGAAUGGAAUAGCUGCAUUGUAUGGGCUCUUCUGGGUCUUCUGCUGCCUGAGGCCAGGAAAGGAAGAGGCCCCUGGUAGAACAGCAGCGCCCUGGGGAAGCCAAGGUCUUGGCAGCAAAG